GGCGUUUGGUUCGAUUUAUCCAUCGGACCAGAUCCCAGGGAAUCAGUUUCCGAUUUAAAUUAAACCGUUUGGUUCAUUUUUGUGAAAAAUCGGUUCGGAGUCAUGGUGGCCAGUAGAAUCAGGGUAACCAACUAAAAACCAUGAUUCAUCCGGAUUAACCUCAAUAGGUUAAUCCGGAAUCGAGUCACGGUUCCGGAGGUUCGUAUAAAAGCGAUGGAUUCAAGUUGAAUCCAUUUCCACAUCAUCCUGCGAUUCUGCCGAUGAAGUCCGACCGAGGUUCAGCGACGGUGAAGCAACAGCUCGCAUCUGAGAAGAACACCUAAAACCGAGUUGAUUGAAGGUUGUAACUUCAUAUCUAGGGUUUACCCUAUUUCCAAAUCAGACGAUCGACUCCAAGGUUUGAAGAACUAGAAUCGAAGCUUGAUUUAAGUUUUGAUGUGAUGGAACCAACAGGAGAUUCUAAUAGUAGGUCACGGGACAUUGCUUCAUGGCCUAGCGCCGUUUCUCAUUACAUGUUGGAGUGUGUAUUGAAGCAGUACAAGAGUGGUAAGGGUGGAGAUAAUG